UGUGUGCAGAGUAAGAAAAUGAACUUGGGCCAGAUUCACUAGAUGAAAACUAUUUGCUCCUUUCCUGUCAUCCUGCUGAGGCCGAGCCACAGGAAUGUGUAAGCAGUGCGGCCUUCCCAUCACAGAAGCCUGAAGGCCACUCUACUGUGGUUGGGUCCACUUACACCAAGGAAACCUGUGCCCAAGGGCUGUGGAUUGGAGAAUUCAGCUCCCGCUUCUCAGAGCUGCAAGCUUCCCAGUCACAGUUGGAACCAUGCAUCCAGGGGAUCCCUCAUCUGGGAAUACCCCUGGGUCAGUGCUUUGAGUAUGGAGACUGCAAAGCCAGGCAGAGCCUUUCUUCCACCACUUGGAGCUUUGAAGUGUGCACAGACUGUGGUGACCAGUACCAGCCCUUUCAGGAUAAGGAAGGAAAGUGGUAUGGCAGUCGCCCUUCUCUACGUUUAUUGCCAGGUCCUAAUAUUGUUGGAAAGAAGAACAGACUUUGCUGAUGAAGAGAACUAAGACAUUAAGUGAAGUUUUUUGAUUUCAUAAUAACCCAAUUUAAAGUCCACAGAGAACACUGGAGUGAUUCAUGUGAUUACUGAAUUUGAAAACCACCAAGAGCUCUUGACAGUUUUCACUCCAACAGCCCAGUUGUAUUGGAAAAAUUCCACCUCUUUGCCUCCAAUUUUGUGAAAUACUUAUGAAGACUAAGACCUACAUCUGUA